rnacentral:rRNA from 1 species
UAAUACAGAGGGUGCAAGCGUUAAUCGGAAUUACUGGGCGUAAAGCGCAUGUAGGUGGUUGUAUAAGUUUGAUGUGAAAGCCCCGGGCUUAACCUGGGAAUGGCAUUGAAUACUGUAUAACUUGAGUCGGUGAGAGGGCAGUGGAAUUUCCGGUGUAGCGGUGAAAUGCGUAGAGAUCGGAAAGAACAUCAGUGGCGAAGGCGUCUGCCUGGCACCAGACUGACACUUAAGUGCGAAAGCGUGGGGAGCAAACAGG